UACGUAGGUGGCAAGCGUUGUCCGGAUUUACUGGGCGUAAAGGGCUCGUAGGCGGCCAACUAAGUCAGACGUGAAAUCCCUCGGCUUAACCGGGGAACUGCGUCUGAUACUGGAUGGCUUGAGUUUGGGAGAGGGAUGCGGAAUUCCAGGUGUAGCGGUGAAAUGCGUAGAUAUCUGGAGGAACACCGGUGGCGAAGGCGGCAUCCUGGACCAACACUGACGCUGAGUGAGCGAAAGCCAGGGGAGCAAACGGGG
rnacentral:rRNA from 1 species